GAUGAAGAACGCAGCGAAAUGCGAUACUUGGUGUGAAUUGCAGAAUCCCGUGAACCAUCGAGUCUUUGAACGCAAGUUGCGCCCAAAGCCAUUAGGCCGAGGGCACGCCUGCCUGGGCGUCACACGUCGUUGCCCCCCCAUCUACUCCUUCGGGAUUGCGGGGGGCGGAUGAUGGCCUCCCGUGCGCCUCGUCGCGCGGUUGGCAUAAAUGCCAAGUCCUCGGCGACGCACGCCACGACAAUCGGUGGUUGCGAAACCUCGGUUGCCCGUCGUGUGCGGUCGUCGCGCAUCGAGGGCUCGAAAAAAUUGCCGGGCUCCGGCUCGGCUUUCAACGCGACCCCAGGUCAGGCGGGGUUACCCGCUGAAUUUAAGCAUAUCAAUAAGCGGAGGA
rnacentral:misc_RNA from 1 species